rnacentral:rRNA from 1 species
CUUGCGCCGGCGACGGUUCAUUCAAAUUUCUGCCCUAUCAACUUUCGAUGGUAAGGUAUUGGCUUACCAUGGUUUCAACGGGUAACGGGGAAUUAGGGUUCGAUUCCGGAGAGGGAGCCUGAGAAACGGCUACCACAUCCAAGGAAGGCAGCAGGCGCGCAAAUUACCCAAUCCCGACACGGGGAGGUAGUGACAAUAAAUACUGAUACAGGGCUCUUUUGGGUCUUGUAAUCGGAAUGAGUACAAUUUAAACCCCUUAACGAGGAACAAUUGGAGGGCAAGUCUGGUGCCAGCAGCCGCGGUAAUUCCAGCUCCAAUAGCGUAUAUUAAAGUUGUUGCAGUUAAAAAGCUCGUAGUUGAACCUUGGGCCUGGCUGGCCGGUCCGCCUCACCGCGUGUACUGGUCCGGCCGGGCCUUUCCUUCUGGAGAGCCCCAUGCCCUUCACUGGGUGUGCGGGGGAACCAGGACUUUUACUUUGAAAAAAUUAGAGUGUUCAAAGCAGGCCUUUGCUCGAAUACGUUAGCAUGGAAUAAUAGAAUAGGACGUGCGAUCCUAUUUUGUUGGUUUCUAGGACCGCCGUAAUGAUUAAUAGGGACAGUCGGGGGCAUCAGUAUUCAAUUGUCAGAGGUGAAAUUCUUGGAUUUAUUGAAGACUAACUACUGCGAAAGCAUUUGCCAAGGAUGUUUUCAUUAAUCAGUGAACGAAAGUUAGGGGAUCGAAGACGAUCAGAUACCGUCGUAGUCUUAACCGUAAACUAUGCCGACUAGGGAUCGGGCGAUGUUUUUAUCUUGACUCGCUCGGCACCUUACGAGAAAUCAAAGUUUUUGGGUUCUGGGGGGAGUAUGGUCGCAAGGCUGAAACUUAAAGGAAUUGACGG